rnacentral:rRNA from 1 species
GCCCAUACGUGCACGCAACACCUCCGCGUAGCGUCGGUGCAGGACCAUAUGAUAUGAACAUCAUCGCUAUAAAUAAACCGUUCAACCUGCAUACCAAUUCGCAGCAACUCGACGACAAUACAAUACAACACGAUACACCACCAGUUCAUCUUGUAGCACAUCGAUCGGAGUAAAGUGCGUGAAAAUCAAGGAUAAUGGACGCGACCAACAAGGCGACCGGGCACGGCGGCGCCACCGGCCCCGCGGGGAACCACGGCGGGGCUCCUGCCGGUGCUGGUGCCGGGGGCGUGCAGCAGCUCCAGGCGACGAGGGACGACCGCAAGACCGACGGUGGCCUGGGCCGUUCCGGCGGGCCCACGGGGAACCACGGCGGUGCUCCUGCCGUCGGCGCGGCCGCCGCCGGUGAGAAGAAGGGCGUCGUGGAAAAUAUCAAGGAGAAGCUUCCCGGCGCCGGCGGGCAGCAGUGAGAGCGUCGAGUCACUGAGCUACAUGUACCACACAGCCUCUGGCACUACGUGUAAAAAGCUCAGCCACGCUUUUACAAAUAAAUAACGAGCUGUGUAUGUAUGCAUGCAUGUACCGAUGUACUUGUCUUCCAUCGGAAUAAAAAUACUUGUGUUUUGUAAGAAUUUGAACGGGAAAUAUAUUUUCAUUGGCGUACAGGGUUGAUUUUCAUGUUUUUGCGUUUUCCCCCAAUGUUUCGGCUUCGACUAUGUGUCCUAUACAUAUAUGUUUACUCUCAAAAAAAAAAAGAGUCAUUCCCAGAGCUAGUAAAUAAAAUCCUACACAGAAACUGGGUUGACCUCCC